rnacentral:rRNA from 1 species
UACGGGGGGGGCAAGCGUUGUUCGGAAUUACUGGGCGUAAAGGGCUCGUAGGCGGCCAACUAAGUCAGACGUGAAAUCCCCAGGCUCAACCUGGGAACUGCGUCUGAUACUGGUUGGCUUGAAUCCGGGAGAGGGAUGUGGAAUUCCAGGUGUAGCGGUGAAAUGCGUAGAUAUCUGGAGGAACACCGAUGGCGAAGGCAAUCCCCUGGGCCUGCACUGACGCUCAUGCACGAAAGCGUGGGGAGCAAACAGG